AUCUGCAGCGAAAGGGGAAACACGGGAAGUCAGGCCACUGCAGCCAGAGUAAACCCGGGCCACGUGUAAAGUGCCAGCACGCGGUGAGCACCAGACGGGGAGCGAACCCCGCCACAAAAGCCACUGAGAGAUGAGUAAGAAUACCGCUCUGGGAAGAUAUUCAAGAAACUCACACAGUGGUUGUCAGAAGGGUUCUCCAUCACCUUUCAGAGUAAAAUAUCGACGCAUCAGAGCCCAUCUCUCUCACCUUGGACUCUAUCUGUACUUCUCUCUGUUAAUGACAUCCAUGUUCAAGGAUCAUCUCCUACAGAAAGCCUUUCCUGCCUGCA